GUGUUGUCUGAGCUGAGAUGUCAGCACUCCCCUUGACAAGGACGGAAGGGGCCUUCAGGCCUGACCACACACAUUCGGUUAAGGCACCGCCAACUACUGUGACACACCAACCAUCAUUUUUC
ensembl:snRNA